rnacentral:rRNA from 1 species
UUCCGGUUGAUCCUGCCGGACCUGACUGCUAUCGGAUUGAUACAAAGCCAUGCGAGUCUUUGUAGUAAUACAAGGCAUACGGCUCAGUAACGCGUAGUCAACCUACCCUAUGGACGGGGAUAAUCUCGGGAAACUGAGCAUAAUACCCGGCAGACCACUUAUCCUGGAAUGGUUUAUGGCUUAAAUGAAUUUCGCCAUAGGAUGGGACUGCGGCCUAUCAGCUUGUUGGUGAGGUAAUGGCCCACCAAGGCUAUAACAGGUACGGGCUCUGAGAGGAGUAGCCCGGAGAUGGGUACUGAGAUAAGGACCCAGGUCCUAUGGGACGCAGCAGGCGAGAAAACUUUGCAAUGUGCGAAAGCACGACAAGGUUAAUCCGAGUGUUUCCUGCUAAAGGAAUCUUUUGUUAGUCGUAGAAUCACUAUCGAAUAAGGGGUGGGCAAGUUCUGGUGUCAGCCGCCGCGGUAAAACCAGCACCUCAAGUGGUCAGGAGGAUUAUUGGGCCUAAAGCAUCCGUAGCCUGUUUUGUAAGUCUUCGGUUAAAUCCACAUGCUUAACAUGUGGGCUGCCGGAGAUACUGCAAAACUAGGGAGUGGGAGAGGUAGACGGUACUUGAUAGGAAGGGGUAAAAUCCUUUGAUCUAUUGAUGACCACCUGUGGCGAAGGCGGUCUACCAGAACACGUUCGACGGUGAGGGAUGAAAGCUGGGGGAGCAAACCGGAUUAGAUACCCGGGUAGUCCCAGCUGUAAACGAUGCA